AGUCGGAGAAAGAAAACAUUCUCAACUUGGGAAAAAAACAUGUCAAAAGUGGUAACUUACGUUUAUAUGACCCUCUCUCUCAGUGGCAAAACGGCGGACUAUCGUUAAUUUUAUAAAUUACGUAUGUGGAUGUUUUGGCGAUAGACAAAAUCGAGUCCGGGAUUUGGAGAUGGAUACGAUUUCAAGUUGGAGUCGAAAUAAUCGGAAGAGAUUGAAUCAAUUGGAAUCACAAGGAGGUGUCUCUACGGAUUCAAUUGAAUAUGCAGAAGAAACAGGAAUUUUCUGAGUACAGAGAGAGGCUUAACGAGACCUUGUCGUAUCCUGAGCUCUCUAAUGACCAAACUCUUGAAACCCUUGUCAAGAAACAGCUCAAUGAAGAGUGUAAUGUGGAUAUAUUGGAUCAGAGAGUAGCUGUUUUAUCCAGUACAAUUGUCAAUUGAGAAGUAUGUUUUUGUAAUGAUGCAUCUUAUGGUGAUUGGAAAUUGAAACAUGAUGAUGAAGAUUGCCAUGUUAUGUACCGUGAAGGAAUUAAAGGAAGCCCAUUUCAUACACUGCUCGUUGAAGGUUGCAUUGAUGGGACUAUCGAAGACUGUAAGUUUUCUUCAUUAAGAGUUUGGAUCGCGAUUAGUGUUUUAUGAUUAGGGUUGUUUGAUUCCCGAGUAUCAAGCCAACAAGGAUGCAGAGAUCAACAACAAGACUGCAUAUUCUAGGUGCAUAUCUCAUUGGCUGGAGAUAAACAUAUGCGAGUGACUUGGAUUACCAGCGACAAAUCAUAUCCUUCAUUUGUCGAAUAUGGAACAUCGCCAGGGAAAUACUCGUAUCUUGGUCAAGGAGAAAGCACCUCCUACAGCUAUAUAAUGUACAGGUCAGGGAAGAUACAUCAUACAGUUUAAAAAAAGUGAAUUAGGAUAUUGCUGCUACAAUGUGAAGUAUAUGGCUUUUAAAAAGGUGAAUUAGG